GUUGAGCACAGGGCUUGGCCCAGAGUGAAUGUUCGAUAAAUAUUUCCUGUCUGGAAACGACAACCAUCUGUCGGAGUUGGUGUGAACAGAGCUCUGCCUUGGGGCAGGGGCGGAAGCUGAGGGACUGAGGAGGGCCCUUCCUGCCCUUAGAUCCUAUGACAGUGAGCGGGAAGCUCUCCAGCUUAAGAAUAGGUUGUUGGGAGACAAAGUGGGAAAGGAAUCUGAGAUCUAUAAAGUAAAAAUGAAAAUUUAGGAGGAGUGCUGGAAGAGAUGCAGCUUAGGGGAGAGAUUCUGAUGCUCAGCUUUGCUGGCGUGCUUGCUGCAGGUGAGGAUCACGUUGGCUGUUCUGAGAGCUUUCCAUAGCUGAUCACCCUCAGCCACCCCGUGAGAUCAGUGCUAUUGUGAUCUCGUCUCACAGAUGGGAAGAGGAAGGAACAAAGAGGGUUGCAGUGAACACUCUCUAGGACAGAUGCCUGAAGGUGGAAUUGCCAGAGCAAAGGCUCAUGAAAUGGGGUUCCUAGUGGCCCCCUGGCUACCAGCUCAGCUCACCACUGAGGAGGCACCACCAAGAACGUUGCCAGAGGAGGUAUCCAAGGAAGGCAGGGCUGGGACUCAAUCCAAAUGACAAAUGCCACGACAGACUCAUCAUUCUGACCACCUUGGUGUUGUUAUUGACCCAGCGUGUCAUGCAUGAUGCUCUCCAAGAAGGCCCCUGGUGGCCUGCCCACAGCUCACCAGACAUGCCUGAACAUGUGUGAGUCCCAGUGGAUCAGAUCCAUCUUCCAGUCCAGCCUCCAAGACUUCUGAGCUUUCAUUAGACCUCUCUGCUCCAUAUGCUGGAAGCUUUAUGGCCCAUCACCUGCACCCUGAGCUUUAGCUGGUCUCAUGGGUUCUGAAACUUAGCCCACACCUUUUCAUCUCAGAGCCUCAGUGCCCUUGUCUCCACAUGUCGGCAUCCUAUGCGUCGUCAGCUCUGUAUCCUCCCGAAAGCAUUGUUUGGCAUCUAGCACACACAGUAAGUGCCAAAUAAACAUCUUAGAAUGAACAAUGGAGGGCCGUGAAAAGCCCUGUCGUUUUAAAGUUCUGUCCAGUUGGCAAAGCACAUUCAUUGUCAUUUUUGAAACAGUAAUGUCCUCAGGGCCAUCCAGGAGGGGGAAGUCCUGUUCCUGGCUUCCCUCACUCUACAAACAUUUCAUCACCUCCUCCUUUGUCCUAACAUGAUGCCAGGCACCAGAGGCAGAGAGACAAGUCAAACCUGGUCCCUCCCCUCCAGGAGCUCACGAUCUAAAAUUAAGAUAAAGAAAGUGGACACAAUUCAAUGUGGCAAGUGCCCUGCUGAGGCCUGUCCCCCAUGCCAAGGAGACUAGAGAAGAGCGUGGCUCCCCUACACUUCAUAACCUAAGACAAAGGUAUUUUUAAAAUUCUCUCUGAUUUCCAUCAUCCUCUCUUUUCUGUCACUUCUUGAUAUACCUGGUCCACCUACUUCUUACCAUUUCUCCUCCCCUCUUCUAAUCUGCUGUUUCUAAUCGACUCAUUUCUAGGAAAUUGGUUGAACUUGUAUCCUUUCUUUACAGCAGUGGGUUUCAGCUCUGCCUGGCUGCACAUUAUAGGCACCCGGGAAUCCAUUUAAUCCCCAUCCUGCCUCCCAAGCUCAGAGAUUCUGAACUAAUUAGUCCGACUCGGUCCCAGUCUCCUAGCUGAUGCUGACAUGCAGCCAGAGUUUAGAACUGUUUUAUGGGCAAUUCUAAAUCCAUAGAUUCUGACAAGCCUUGGGGAUGGCCCUAGUCUCACCUGUGGAAUUAAGUGCAUGGGCUUUAUGACUACUCUUUCCUAAGCACAGAAUCUAUUUUUAAAUCUCUGGGGUGUGAAGACACAGUCCUGGCCUCUCUGCAGGUUGUAGCAGCCAGUGGAAGAGUCAAACAGUAGAGCAGCCCAGGGCCAAGAAAUGGCCCCGUCCACACUCCGAGAUGUCUUAACACCUCACAAGCAGUCCUGAUGGUGGUGGGGGUAAUUCCUAAUCAGGUGUUUAAAAUCUCAGCUAAUCAGUGUUGGUGUUAACAAGGGGCCAGAGAUUUUAUCAUAAUGGCCAAAUCAUCCAAACUCAGGAGUCUAUAAACUGGAAAGCUUCAAGACUUAUGGUUUGGAAACUGAAUAUGAGCUAUUUAUACAGCCAGAAAAGUUCAAUGUAACCUGACAUCUGUGAAAUAUUUCUAAGAGGGCAAAGUUACCGAGGUAGUGACAAUCUGCCACCUUCUAAUUUCUGAAAUAUCUUCUCCCCAAAAUCAGCCUAGUUAGCCUCUGGCUAUAUGCAGCUGUCAGUGAUGGGAGUCCCUAAGCAGCCAUCUGGUGCUAUUUGGCAUCCUGGUAGAAGAUUAUUUCAGUCACUUGGCAAUCAUUUAUUGAGCACCUACUAUGGGCCUGGCAGAGAGGAACGCGGACAUGGAUAAACACACAUGUCAUCCUGGAGGCACUUGCUGUACAAGUACAUUUUCUCAUGUAUAAAGAGUGAAAUCACGACCCAGGAGAUCACUAACAGCUGCCGCGUCCACCGCACAGGCUCACAGAGCAGCAACAAGGGCUGAAGAAGUCAACAAGGCAGGAAGUGCUUCAGGGCUCUGUUCCCUGAGCCUGACACACGGGGCAAUUGGCAUGCCUCUCUUGCUUUCACCCAGGAAUAGGUAAUGUGAAGAUUAAACAGAGCAAUUUAAUCCAACAGGUAGGUAACAAGCAUCAGCUCUGUGAGAGGGGAGGCGGAGGUGAAAUACUCAUGGUCUGUGACCUGAAGGAAGUCACGGCUUGGGGAUGGAGGGAUGGCAAGUGCUUGGGUUAGUCUAAUACAAUAAUAAUAAUUAAAUAUAUAUAAUUCAAUAAUAAUUCAAUUCCAAUUCAAUAUAGUAGUAAUAAUAAUAAUGGCAGCUACCCUUUGGUGACCGCUUGCUGUGGGCCAGGCACAGUGGUAAAUUCUUAUCAUACACAUAUAUCACACCCAUUCUCUGAUGUCCUUGCACUUGUCAUUGUCAAUUUACCUUUGAGAAAGCUGAGGCUGUGACAGGAUCUCACAACCUAUAUGGAACCUUCCUGAGAUCCAAAUCCAGGUCUACUUUCUCCACAGCCUGGGCUCUCAACCUCUGUCAUGCAUCCUAAGAAGAGAGGCAUAGAGCAGACCCUCUGGGGAUGGAGGGGGCAGAGGACACCUCUGGAUAGGGGCUGGAUUGGGUUCUCCCAGGAGCAGCCCCUGAGAUGGGGACUUGAGGACAAGUAGCUUGUUGGGAGGUGAUCCUAGGAACACUGGUAGGGAGUAGGGACGUGAGACAGAAGGGAAGGGAAGAACACCAGUCAGGGUACAUAAUUGAGAAGUUCAUCCUGUCGGCAACUGGAUGUCAGUCCUACUGGUGCACUCAGAUGAUGCAGACUAUGCCUCAGAGUUCUCUUCCCUGAGCGGUGAAGAAGUGGGGAUAUUUAUCCCCAUGCCACCACCUGUCAUUCAUUGAGGGCGGCUUCUAGGGGCAUGAACUCUCAGGUACUCUGGCUCCCAGCAGAAAAGGGCCCCAGCAGGGAGCAUCAGUGUUCUCAGUGAACAGCCUCAUGCAUGGAGGUGCAUGCACAGCUCUGGGCCUGUCUCUGGCUGUGGCCCCUGGAGGCCCAGGGAUGCAGGAUGCAAUGCAAGUCCUGCCCUCACCUACACUGGGGAGGCAGCGUGUUGUGCUUGAGCCUGGAGACCCACACCACUAACUCCUCUUCUGAAUUAGAGGUCUCUGGGCUCCACAGGGCUGAGUUCAAGUGCGCCAGAGAGGAACUUCCAACCCGUAAAUGGGCAUCGGUACUUUGCAAGCCUUCCUUUGAUAACCAGAAUGAUGUUCCAGCAAUUUGGAGAUCAGUGAUCUGGGAGUUUGUUAGUAAGCCAGCGUAGAAGCCUUUGUAGACGAGUUUUACAGGCCGUGCUGGAUUUCAGGGUAGUGGACCUGGAUUUGAGUAUCAGCUUUGGUAAUGUCAACCAGGCCAGUCUUUCUGGGUUCUUAUUGACUGGCUAACCUGCAGUAUCCCAUCUCAUCCAGCGUACUCUCUGGGGAACAUGGGUCAAAUGACCCAUUGUUUGAGCUCUUCCGAAGUUCGUGAAUAGAGCUGCUGCCAGGAGGCCUCCUGAGCUGGGUCCCAGACGCCGCAUUGCAGUCCUUUCCAGGGAUGGAUGCAGAGUGGUGGAAAGGAGCUUGGGCUUGGCAGCCAGGGGCCCGGAUGGAGUCCUGCUCUGCUGUUUACUGGCUGUAUUGCUCUAGGCAGAUCACUUAGUCAUUCUGACCCUCAGUUCCCCCAUUCAUAGGGUGGGGAUAAAAAUACUCAAUUCUUCGGAGUCUCGUGAGAAGUAAGUCAGAUAGUGCGCGCACAAUGCUUUGAACGGUGUGCAGUAAAAAGCAAGGACUCGGUAAAUGUUAUUUCUUAAUAACACUUUGUCCUGACAGGGAUCCCACUCGCUGGAGGCAGGAGGGAGCGCUCAGGUGCUCUGUGAGCCACCUGGAAGAAGUCCUGACGUCAUGGCAGCAAAUGCUCUUUGCUUGUCUCUGUGUUUGUCAGGCUUUGUUCUCUUCCACGAUUAGACAUAUCAGGUUCAAAAGAGACAUUGUCUCACACUAGUGAAUAGUUUAAUAGCCUCCCUCCAAAGAUGCGGGAGACUUUAUCAGCUUCUUAAAAUGUUGAUGACGUCUCAGAGAGAGAGUGUUAGGGAGCCACUCCUAAAUAAAUCAUUCAUCCUGCCAUACCUGAGCCCCACCCUAGGCUGGGAGGUGGGAGCCUGUGGCCCCGGCACAGUGGACUGGCUUGGGGGUCAGUCAGGGGGCACAUGCUGUGGGUGCCCAUGGGCUGGCCCCUAACCAGCUGUGCCAGGAAAGAUGAAAAACCUGACUCGAAUAUCAGAGGGUAGAAUAGGGCUUAAGGAGCUAGAGAAAGGAAAAGUCAUGCCUUUCAAACUGGGGCUCAAGCUUGCAACUCAAAGGUGUGUUCAGACAGGCCUUGGGUCAGGCCAGAGGAUGCCAGGCAGGCCAGCUCUGGAGCUGGGAGGCUGGUGGUCACCGAGGAGUUGGUGGAUACUGCGCCCUCGCCUUCCCUCUCUAGAAGUCCUGCUUGCCAAACUUGGUGACCUUGGCUGAGUCCCUCCUGGCUUGGUGUCAGCCUCUGGGCUUGAGCAGCAUCGAGUUCCAUUUCCCUGUCUGGUUUGGGGUGCAGACCACUUAAGUCAGUGUUCUAUGUGUGAGCGGCUCCUCUUUUGUUUUCCCAAGGAAAUCCAACCAACACUCUCUUUCUUUUAUCCCUGAAUGCAUAUUCCAGCUGUCUGAUGUUGGGGGCAGACCCGUUAGGUGACAGAGGACCCCUGCUCCCAUCUCGGGGGGUCAAGGGGAGCCCUGCCCCGUCAGCAUUUGAUGAGAUCUGACACUUUCUCACUUUCCCUGCAGGAGGGCAGCAGCCUAUGGAGGAAGCAGAACUUAUUUAGAAGAAAGAAGUUUCCAAAAAAUCGAGAACAGUAUCAGAGGCUUUUAACAAACACAACUGGAUUUCAUAUUUAUUCUGCUUUCAUAAUAGGAUUUGACCUAUUCUGAAAUGAACUAUUUUUUUAAAUUAUCCGCCAGAUCUCACAACAGAAGGCAUUAGGUUUUUUUCUCCCUCAAAUCAACAUUUUAAUUUUAGAGACACAGUUAAAAGAAAAUCACUGAGACUAAGGUAUCUAGCAUUUCGAGAUGAAACAGUGAAACUUUAAAAUGGGGAAGUUCACCAGGCCAGCCCCCCAUCCCUGGUUUGGCCAAUUUGUAGGAAGUGACCUUCUCAGAAGGAUUGGAAGUCUGAGCAAAGCCAACCACUAGCUUCCAAAUUGAUUUUCAAACCAAAAUUGGAACAGUUCUCAAAUGCUCCUGGGAUUUGGGACUAUUAAUACCGAAGAACAAUAAGAAGGAAAAAGUGAGUGUGUAAGAGGUGAUUUAUGACCCAGAGGAAGUUGCAAGCUCGGAAACUUGUAUGCAACCCAAUCACAGACCCCUCUGGAGAGGUUCCAGGGAAGAGAUGGAGAAUGUAAAGGGAGAGCAUUUCCGAGGGAUAUUAAAGCUUAUAAAAGGAGGUAGUGUGGGCUUUGGGCCUGAAAUGAGCGAGCGAGGAGCUGACCAUGUUGAACUUCUCAUAACCACAGCAGGUUUCUGUGCAGCUGUCAUCGGCGCCUGAGACACCCCACGAGCCUUUCCUUGUAUUUAUUUCUUACUAUUAGUUCAUCACCGAGCAGGUUAAAUGGCAGGAAGAGUCUCCCCAUCAGAGUGUGGGACUGUGACUGCUGCUGCCUAAACCUGUGGUCUGUCUCGGGUGUCACGUUCUCGGGUGUCAAGGCUGUGGCUCCAGCUGCUAACCCGUAAGACCAGCCAUGGCCAAGGUGCAGUGGCGGUGCACAGGACAGCGAGGUCGGGCCCCCAGAGCCCGCCCAGGUGUUCGGGGAUUGGACACCUAACCUCGCCUUGGUUUUCAUAGUUCGUGUGAAAGUUAUUUAUUAUUAUUUAUAGCUUUAUUGAGGUAGACUUGAUAUACAAUAAAUUACACAUAUUUAAAGUGUGCUGCUUGCACACGUUAUACAUGUGUAUGUCUACAGACAUGUGCAUAUACAUAUGUGUCUUUACUUGAAGGACUAGAGAAUCAGAUAAUCCAUACAAUGUUUUGGCUGUGUGCAGGGCAUUCCUGUGGGAUGUCCACCAAUCACAUUUCUUGGGAGUAACAAAAACAAGAGGAGGAAAGUCUGCUGAGAUGGGCUUCCAGCUAUCAAUCCUUGAGAGACAAGAGGUGGGACCAAUUGCAAAUAGACCCAAAUUCCCCAAAUGGCCAGGAAAAUGUCUCUUUCUAAAAAUGAGUAGCAGGUAAUAAUCCAGUCUAGGAAGUCAAAACAAUACCUUGCACUCGUGCAGUUUUUUUAUAGUUUUAAAAAUGUUACACUACCAGGAUUUCACUGUGGAGGUACAAUAUAUCUGAGUUGUUGUUAUGAUUAUUACUAGUCAUCAUUUACCAAUUCUGCUUCUUGGACAUCAUUCUAUGGCUAAAUGGGAGAGGGUAGAAGGGAUUCAUGUCACUGGAGGGCUGUGGCUGUUUCUAAGACUGGAAGUCCCACUGAGGAAGCCUCUGAAGUGUUGACCAGACGACUUUUCACUGUUAACACUACUUCCACUCACAGCAUCCACCUCAACCCUCCGCUGCCCAGACUGCGCCUCCAGAUAACGCACAUGGCUGCCAGCAGAAUGAUAAUGGAGAAAAUACUGUGUGUUUAAUCAGUAUCAUCCAAGGAAAGGGGUGGGAGGAGGGCAGGGGUGCAGAAAGGUCUGGGAAUGGGGAGAGAUCUAGUAUAUGGAGAAGAGUCAAGCCUCAUAAAGGCAUUUUAUGGUGUGGCUAGGACCAGAAUUGUUGGCAUCACGUGUUUACUGGUCCCCCAGGCUCUGCAAGAACUGGGAAGUGCCUCCACUCCCAAUCUCCCCUUUUGCCAACUGCAUUCUUGCUGACUUAGCAGUUCUUCAGAAAGUCACCUCUGCUCUCACUUGGAAUGUUUAAGUUCGAUAUUCAUAAACGGGAUGAGGAAGAAACUUCUAAAAUCAAGGGCUUGGCUCGUUGUGGAGGCAAAAGUUCUGUUUGGAGGGAGCAUCUGGAAAAGCACCCCCUCAAGUAUGUGUUGAAUCGCUGGGUGGUCGGCAGCGCCAAGGCAGGGCGAGGCCAGGCUUUCCGAUGUCUUCCCAGAAACGGCCUGGCGGGAAGGUCAGCUCCUUCCUCAUCAAACUCCUCCUGACCAGAGGGCAGAUACCACCCUGCACUUUGCGGUCCUCCACACUGAAUGGGGUGAGCACGGAGGCCCGAGGUUCUGCAGUGACUUCUGCACUUUGGAAACAACGUGGAGCGCACAAGUAGGGGUGCCCUGCAAGAAUCACUUCUCUUUCACGGCCCGGCUUGGGUCCAGGAUGUCUCAGUGGGUUUGAAACGAACAAGAAGUAACACCCUUCCUGCAAUGUCAACAAGCCAGAGGGUGACCUUGAAUGCUCCGGUUUUAGUGCUGUGACCUAGGACGUCAGCCUGGCAGAGGCUUCGUGCUGAAUGCUGGUGAUUCUCUAAUGGCUGGAAGAGACCGGUUAGGUUUUAUUAAACAUCCUCUGCCUUCACUUUUUAAGGGCAUUGUUACUUUAUUUAUUUUGCCAAUAGGUAACAUAUGCUCAUGAUACAAAUUUCAAAAACACCGAAAGGGAAAACCACGGGAAUUCUUCCUUCUUCUCCUGACCCCCUCUCCCCCAGUUCUCCUUCCCAGAGUAAACCGAUAUUUCAGAUUCUUGCAUGUCCUUCUAGAGGUGUUUUUUGCACAAUUGAGCAAAUAUGUAAAUAGAUAAUCCUUUUGUUUACCUCCCCGCUCUGCCCAAAACAGUAGCGGUAGCAGGCUGGUUCUACAGAAACAGACUCUGAGAUGGAGAUCUCAGGGCAGGAAGUUAACUGGGGAGUGCGCUGGGGCCAACAUCUGUGAGGGGGAGAGGGAAGCAGGAC
ensembl:lncRNA